GUGGCCUGGAGAUCUAUUGGUGUGGUCCUGGGGACUGACCUGUGUCCUAAUAAUGCUUGGCAAUAUUAUGUGUGGUGCAAUAUGUUUUUGCCAAAUGGAGCUAAGUUCUUCACAGUUGGCCUGGCUGCUGUGACCUGGGCCAUUUGGCUGGCUCGUAAUAGAGCUACCUUUGAGAAGAAGUUGAUUAAAUCUCCUUUUGAGAUUGUGUUUUCGGCAUGUUCUUUUCUCUUGUAUUGGGAAGGACUUCAGAACAAGGAAGACACGGAGGAACUACGCCAAGGUGCAGAGAUGAUUCGCUCAAGCACGACCAGGAUGAUGGCGAUGUGUGAGAAGGCCAGGCGUGCGAUGGAUGAUGAUAGAGAGGUGUUGACUUGGUGA
rnacentral:rRNA from 1 species